rnacentral:rRNA from 1 species
UGGGGAAUAUUGGACAAUGGGCGCAAGCCUGAUCCAGCCAUGCCGCGUGAGUGAUGAAGGCCCUAGGGUUGUAAAGCUCUUUCACCGGUGAAGAUAAUGACGGUAACCGGAGAAGAAGCCCCGGCUAACUUCGUGCCAGCAGCCGCGGUAAUACGAAGGGGGCUAGCGUUGUUCGGAUUUACUGGGCGUAAAGCGCACGUAGGCGGACUAUUAAGUCAGGGGUGAAAUCCCGGGGCUCAACCCCGGAACUGCCUUUGAUACUGGUAGUCUUGAGUUCGAGAGGGGUGAGUGGAAUUCCGAGUGUAGAGGUGAAAUUCGUGGAUAUUCGGAGGAACACCAGUGGCGAAGGCGGCUCACUGGCUCGAUACUGACGCUGAGGUGCGAAAGCGUGGGGAGCAAACAGG